CGACAAAAAAUUCAUUUUGCAAAGAAAUUAUUUUCAAGAAGAUGUACUUCAGGUUUUUCACAGAAAGAUGAAAGUUACGUCACAAGACAUGACUUCUUAAUUGUUUAGUUUGAAGAAAUAUCUAUUUCAGUGCCGUGGGGUCAUAUUAAUGGGAAAUGGUAUGGACCUAACAAUGUUCGCCCUAUACUUGGAUU
rnacentral:misc_RNA from 1 species